UACGUAGGGGGCUAGCGUUGUCCGGAUUUAUUGGGCGUAAAGAGCGCGCAGGCGGCUUGGCAAGUCGGGUGUGAAAUCCCGGGGCUCAACCCCGGGACUGCAUUCGAUACUGUCAGGCUAGAGGUAGGUAGGGGAGAUCGGAAUUCCUGGUGUAGCGGUGAAAUGCGCAGAUAUCAGGAGGAACACCGGUGGCGAAGGCGGAUCUCUGGGCCUUACCUGACGCUCAGGCGCGAAAGCUAGGGGAGCGAACAGG
rnacentral:rRNA from 1 species